UUAAAAGUUGGGCCGGUAUUUCUAUGUAGAAUUUUAGCCCAAGUAAAUGUUUUGAAAGGCUUCUCCGGCGCGAAGAAUGUGAGCAUUGGUUUGGUUGGAGCUCUGGGUGUCUUGAAGCGCCACUCCUUAUACGUAACUGUAAUAUUUGCGGAACAUCCGAUGAACGUGCUUCCUCCAAACCCAAACCUGCUCGCUUCUCUGCUCGAGUCAGCUCUUUCAACUCACUCUCCCCUCCUCGCACGUGCCGUCCACGCGCUGAUCCUCAAAACCCAUGACCCCCCUCUCCCCUCCUUCCUCUGCAACCACCUCGUCAACACCUACUCCAAACUCGACCUUCUCAACUCAGCUCAACUCGUUCUCUCGCUCACCAACCCUCGCACCGUCGUCACUUGGACCUCUCUCAUCUCCGGCUGCGUCCGCAACCGUCGCUUCGCCUCCGCCCUCCUCCACUUCUCUAACAUGCGUCGCGACUCUGUUCCCCCUAACGACUUCACCUUUCCCUGCGCCUUCAAAGCCUCCGCUUCGCUGCACAUGCCCCUCACUGGAAAACAGCUUCACGCCUUCGCCUUCAAGGGUGGCCAAAUAUUCGACGUCUUUGUGGGAUGCAGCGCCUUCGACAUGUACAGCAAAACCGGCCUUCGACGCGAGGCUCGCAACAUGUUCGAUGAAAUGCCGCACCGGAACUUGGCCACGUGGAACGCGUAUAUUUCCAAUGCAGUUCAGGAUGGCCGCUGUAUGGAUGCUAUUGUUGCGUUUAAGAAGUUUCUUUGUGUCGAGGGAGAGCCGAAUGCGAUAACAUUUUGUGCAUUUCUCAAUGCGUGUGCUGACAUGGUGAGUUUGGAGCUUGGGCGUCAGUUGCAUGGCUUUGUAGUUCGGGGCCGGUGCAGGGAGGAUGUUUCUGUUGCCAAUGGGCUUAUUGAUUUUUAUGGAAAAUGUGGGGACAUUGCAUCUUCUGAAAUGGUUUUUGAUAGAAUUGAUAGGAGGAAUGUUGUUUCUUGGGGCUCCAUGCUUGCUACUCUUGUGCAGAACCACGAGGAAGAGAGGGCGUGUAUGGUCUUCCUUCAGGCGAGGAAGGAAGUUGAGCCCACGGAUUUCAUGAUAUCGAGUGUUCUCAGUGCCUGUGCUGAGCUUGGAGGGCUUGAAUUGGGCAGGUCAGUUCAUGCUCUUGCUGUUAAAGCAUGUGUCGAGGAGAAUAUAUUUGUUGGGAGUGCGCUUGUUGACAUGUAUGGAAAAUGUGGAAGCAUAGAAAAUGCGGAGCAAGUCUUUAGUGAAAUGCCUGAGAGGAACCUUGUCACUUGGAAUGCAAUGAUAGGUGGAUAUGCUCAUCUGGGUGAUGUUGACAUGGCUUUGAGUCUGUUUGAGGAAAUGACGUUGGGCAGCUGUGGUAUAGCUCCGAGUUAUGUAACACUAGUUUCGGUGUUGUCGGCAUGUAGUAGGGCAGGGGCAGUGGAAAGAGGCUUGCAGAUAUUUGAAUCCAUGAGAGGGAGAUAUGGAAUUGAACCAGGUGCCGAGCAUUAUGCAUGCGUGGUUGAUCUGCUUGGGAGAUCUGGUUUGGUAGAUCGUGCGUAUGAAUUUAUAAAAAGAAUGCCAAUUCUUCCAACUAUACCUGUGUGGGGGGCUCUACUGGCGGCAUGUAGGAUGCACGGGAAAACAAAGUUGGGGAAAAUUGCAGCCGAAAAAUUAUUUGAGCUUGAUCCUGAUGACUCUGGCAAUCAUGUAGUGUUUUCUAACAUGCUUGCUUCUGCUGGCAGAUGGGAAGAAGCCACUAUUGUUAGGAAGGAAAUGAGAGAUAUUGGUAUUAAAAAAAACGUUGGUUAUAGUUGGGUUGCUGUAAAGAAUAGAGUCCAUGUUUUCCAAGCAAAGGAUAGUUCUCAUGAAAAGAACUCUGAAAUUCAAGCAAUGCUAGCAAAACUCAGAUGGGAGAUGAAGAAAGCUGGGUAUGUUCCUGAUACCAAUCUAUCGCUCUUUGAUUUAGAAGAAGAAGAAAAGGCUUCAGAAGUGUGGUACCACAGUGAGAAGAUUGCUCUAGCUUUUGGCCUCAUUGCUCUCCCUCAUGGAGUGCCCAUACGUAUAACAAAAAAUCUUAGGAUUUGUGGAGAUUGCCAUAGUGCCAUUAAGUUCAUCUCAAAAAUCGUUGGAAGAGAAAUUAUUGUGAGAGAUAAUAAUCGUUUUCAUCGCUUUAAGGAUGGUUGGUGCUCUUGUAAAGACUAUUGGUAAUAGUUCCAUUCUUCCAUUAUUUAUUUGUUUCAUAUGCCUCAAAGGAUAUGUUGUUGUAAGCAAUGAGGAUGUAAGCAACACGUCAGGUUUACGUUCUCUUUACCCAUGUUGUUGGAGGUGUAUGCUGAUCGAUUGUUACUGUCGGGCAUCUAUCAUUGACUAAUAUCUGUGCAGGAGUUUGGGGGCUGAUGUACCAUUCUUCAGGUAUGGUCAUUCUGCAUUGGUGCUUAUUAAUGUUCAGGUUGUUUAUUCGGGGGAAUUCGACAAAAAGGGGUUCAGGGAGUACAGGGUGAUUUAUGUAUGUGACAACUGACAGGUUGAUUUGGUUUCAGUAUGUACGGUACUGUAGUUGGUAACUUGAUAUGAACUGGGAUCUUAUGCCUUGGACGGGGGGCAUUACAUAAUUUUUGGUGGUUGAGGCAGACAAAUAGUCGCAAAAAUUCAUCUGAUUGUCAUCAAUGUCACUAUAAAUAGUGACUCGGUAUAUAUUUUGGUGUGGUUCGGGUCAUAUCUUAAUUUGGGGGCUGCCGUGCUGGGGUGAGUGGGUUGCUAGGUAUUCAUCUUCUGUGUGUGGAAAGUGUUUUAUGGGGGAUUAUUACAGCUGCCAUGGUCUUACUGUAGAGCCGUAUCAAGGUCAAUUAAAAGCUAGUGUGGACAAUGAAAAUCUAUGGACUAUGCAGUUUGGUCUCGCACAAACGUAUGCCUGUGCAUUACACACGAGGUAUCUUCAUUGUACACAUGGAAGUGCACAAACUUGUUUUGAUGCUUAAGGGAGUUUGGACCAUUUCAUGAUGCUUGUCAAACUAGACAAUCAGUCACAAUCUGAUUUUGGG